rnacentral:rRNA from 1 species
UACGUAGGGGGCUAGCGUUGUCCGGAAUCAUUGGGCGUAAAGGGCGCGUAGGCGGCUACGCACGUCCGUUGUGAAAUCGCUCGGCUCAACUGGGCGGGGUCAGCGGAUACGGUGUAGCUGGAGCAAGCUAGGGGGCAAUGGAAUUCCCGGUGUAGUGGUGGAAUGCGUAGAUAUCGAGAGGAACACCGGUGGCGAAGGCGGCGAUCUGGACGGUGACUGACGCUGAGGCGCGAAAGCUAGGGGAGCAAACGGG